GACGAACGCUGGCGGCGUGCUUAACACAUGCAAGUCGAACGGAAAGGCCCUGCUUUUGUGGGGUGCUCGAGUGGCGAACGGGUGAGUAACACGUGAGUAACCUGCCCUUGACUUUGGGAUAACUUCAGGAAACUGGGGCUAAUACCGGAUAGGAGCUCCUGCUGCAUGGUGGGGGUUGGAAAGUUUCGGCGGUUGGGGAUGGACUCGCGGCUUAUCAUCUUGUUGGUGGGGUAGUGGCUUACCAAGGCUUUGACGGGUAGCCGGCCUGAGAGGGUGACCGGACACAUAGGGACUGAGAUAAGGCCCAGACUCAUACGGGAGGCAGCAGUGGGGAAGAUUGCACAAUGGGCGGAAGCCUGAUGCAGCAACGCCGCGUGCGGGAUGACGGCCUUCGGGUUGUAAACCGAUUUCGCCUGUGACGAAGCGUGAGUGACGGUAAUGGGUAAAGAAGCACCGGCUAACUACGUG
rnacentral:rRNA from 1 species